CUUUUCUCAGUCAAACCUUGGGAUGAGACCACAACUCUGGGUGGCACCUUGAUUGCAGCCUUGUGAGAGAUCCUGAAGCAGAGGACCCAGAUAAGCUGUGCCUAAACAGAUAUUUUGUUUUGUUUUAUUUUUAUCUUUAUCACCGAGAUACCAUAUAUUAACAAUCAAUUCCUUGAGGAAUAAAAAGUAAGCUACUAAAUCUUAUUGCUGCUUAAAGGCUAAGAUUUCAUGAAUUUAAUCCUAUACUAUUCUACCCAAAAUGCCUCUGGUCUUAAGAUUAUAAUAUAUAAAGCAGCUCUUUGCAUUGGAACAGG
rnacentral:lncRNA from 1 species